UUGUUUUUAUUGAAGUUUUGAAAGAAUUUUUUUCAUUAAAUAAAAUAAAAACCAAUUUUAUGUUCUCGGGGAUCACGAUAACUAUCAUAUAGCCUCAUUUGGCACAAAACUAUAAUGUAAUAUGGAGAAAGAGAACCGUCCAUACACGAUUUAAUAUUGACACUUUUAUAGCUUGGACAUUCAAUAAAAUGCUGGAAGUACCGCCAGGUGCCGCUUUCAGGAAUCACCACUACGUGCGAUGCUUUUACCCAUCAUUAGUGAUGUUCUUGAAAUUAUUUCUUAUAUUUAAAUAUUCGUAACUAAUUUUUUUAAACUGUAAGUACCAAGGGUUGAAC